ACACGUGAUUCAGAGUUUGAUCCUGGCUCAGAUUGAACGCUGGCGGCGUGCUUAACACAUGCAAGUCGAUCGGUAACAGGUGUAGCAAUACAUGCUGACGAGAGGCGGACGGGUGAGGAAUGUUUGGGAAUCUGCCCAUCAGCGGGGGACAACCCGGGGAAACCCGGGCUAAUACCGCAUACGCUCUACGGAGGAAAGCCGGGGACCGCAAGGCCUGGCACUGAUGGAUGAGCCCAAAUCGGAUUAGCUAGUUGGCGGGGUAACGGCCCACCAAGGCUACGAUCCGUAGCUGGUCUGAGAGGACGAUCAGCCACACCGGAACUGAGACACGGUCCGG
rnacentral:rRNA from 1 species